AUGAUAGAGGUUGUAUCAAGAACCAAAGCUCCCGGGAAAUCCUGCUACUUUCAAAUACAUAAAGAUAAUUUUUGGGUUGGAGGCAAAUGCGAUUUGUAUUACUCCAGCCACGUUUGGCAUACGUUCCCAAGCCUAGAGAUGCAGCAUGACUCACUAGGGAUCAUCGGAGCACUUGGAAAACCAGCCAGAAGAGAUCCUAACAGGCUGAGUGCUUACAGAAAUGACUGCCUUGAAAUAGGAAUACAUAUUGUUUCCGUGCGAGUUUUAUACCAAUGCAGUACAUGAGAAGGCACAAACCACAUGCCCAUCCCUCUGCCCGCGGGCAUGCUUUGCAAUAAGACUAGAAGGAUGUUGAACACAAUUUAGAAAUGUGAAGCCGUUACUCCUCCCAUAUGGUUUAUUGAGGAUCUCAGUUUUCAAAGCAUGAGUAGCAGUGAGGCCCGUUAUUCUUUCCAGCAUGCAAAAGGCACAAGAAAGUCAUCAAUGUGAUUCUGUGCAAAGUGUCUCUAAGAAAACACAUAGCGAGGAAAUGACAGAAAAGAGCCCCCGAUGGAACAGAAAGACAAAGCGCCUUCAGGAAAGUGCUGCAAAGUUCUGAAAAUGGUUGUACUUUUUCAGAGUCCAGAUAUGCUCAGUUGGUGAAAGAUGUUUUGCAAAUCCGUGAAGGAAAACUCAAAAGACAGAGCCAAAAGGCUUAAAACAAUAAUCUCCUUUGUGUGCCAAAAUUCAGGAUGGAAGUCAAAAUGAUUUAUCUCAGGAAAAAAGUGUGGCAGUUAAAGACAGACUUUAAAUUCUUUUAAAAAAAAGCCCACCAAAACCAGACGUAGAAAGUGGAUACAUUCUAAGAGCAGCUCAAUAAAAAAUAUUCUUUUUAAUGAAAAUAAUUUAAAAAAUGGAUACUUGAAGAACGCAAAUCCACCUUGACUGUGACCUGCUACCGCACCUUGCUCCCAGGAAAGCCUCUGAGCACAACACAACACCUUCUAGAAGAAGAAAGUCCCCACUACCUGCAUGUGUGAAAUGUGGCCGGUGAAUAAUUGGAAACACAAACAUACAAGUCCCAUUAGUUAACUUGGGUGUUGGGAAACUUCCCGGGAUUCCUGUCUUUCCCAGUGGAGCCGGCUGGUGCUGGAGGUGGUGGUGCUUCCCGGUGGGCACGGCUGAGCCCGUGAACCCCUGAGCCUCUCACUGGAGUUCAAUACUUAAACCUAAAAAAAGGCAUUUACAAGUUGACGCUUUUUUUGUUGUUGUUGUCUUAUUUCCUUGCAGUAUACGUUUCUACUUCUAGAUUAUGGAAUGUUACAUUAAACAAUAUAAUUAUUCAUUACCUUGCUUCAAAUUUCAUUACAGUUACUGAGGCUUCAUCAUAAUUUCACACAGCACAGAGACACCAAAC
rnacentral:lncRNA from 1 species